rnacentral:lncRNA from 1 species
CUCUGCCGAACCUCUGCACCUUCACUAAUAAUCUAUUUACUCGACAACCCUUCCCUUUUUACUAUCCUGUCUUCCCCAAGUUAGAUGGCCUCGAUGUAAAUGAUCCUCCUCCUCCUCCUCCUCCUUUACCCCCUUGGCGAGGGCUCAGAUCCCCUCUGUAACGAGUCACAUUUCCCAAAUCCGAAACUUGAGGACUCUCAAUGCUCAUCAAUUCU